rnacentral:rRNA from 1 species
UACAGAGGUCCCAAGCGUUGUUCGGAUUCACUGGGCGUAAAGGGUGCGUAGGUGGUCGGGUAAGUCUGAUGUGAAAUCUCCGGGCCUAACCCGGAAACUGCAUCGGAUACUAUUCGGCUAGAGGGUUGGAGGGGGGACUGGAAUACUUGGUGUAGCAGUGAAAUGCGUAGAUAUCGAGGAGGAACACCGGUGGCGAAGGCGGGUCGCUGGGCAAUAACUGACGCUGAGGAGCGAAAGCGUGGGGAGCAAACGGG